ensembl:bidirectional_promoter_lncRNA 5430400D12Rik RIKEN cDNA 5430400D12 gene
GUCCGGCCGCUGUGGCACCCGGGAGAGGUCGGCGCGCUCUCCUGGGGAGCACGGCUGUAGAAGCCCAGGAGCACGGUCGCCUUGGCCAGCCUGGGAACGAAUCCAAGCCUGGCUGGGACUGAGCCCCUCAUUCUGGUUCCAUCCUGGAGCCAACCGUGUCGGCAGCAAGCAUCGAGACUGGCAAUUCCUGCCAGCAGCCGCGCCAGUUUGAGGGACCAAUGGUGAAAGUUGACAUCAUACGGGAUCUCUCAUCCAAUCCCACGUAAAAGGAACUGUUGGUCUCAAACUGGUAACACCUUUUCUCAUUUAUUUAUUCAUUUAGUUAUUCGUUUGUUUGUUUAUAUGUUAUCUUUCUUUGAAACAGAGUCUCACUGUGUUGCCCUGCCUGGCUUUGAACUCAGAGAUUCACCUGCCUCUGUGACCCUAAAUGCUGGGAUUAAAAGCCUGCACCACCACAUACAUCCCUGGGAUUUUAGUAAAUAAAAAUUCAAAUGACUAUUGCAUUGAAGUGGGACAAAAUGAUUCAAAUGUUGGGCGGAAAUGUCAAAGACAAUUCUAAAACAGAGUAGCAAGAAGGAACCAGCUUUGCCCACCAAUCAAACCAAGCAGGAUAAUUUGAAGUAUGUUUUAAAGUUACAUUUAUAUGGAUUUUUUUGGAGAGGACCCACGUGCCUGCAACGGUGCAUGUGUGGAAAUCAGAGGACAAUUUGGGGAGUCAGUUCUCUCUUGCUGUGUAAAAGAUCUAAUGUAAGCCAUCAGACUUGGCAGUGCCUUUACCUCACAAGCCUCAAAUCAUAAUUAAAGGGUAAAGUAUUAUUGAACUAUAACACAAUAGUCUGUGGUAAACAAUUUUAAAGAUUUAAUCUUAAUUAUGUUGUGUGUGUAUAUGUCCGAAUGUUGCUUCAGGUGCCCUCAGAGACUAGAAGAGGCCACCUUAGAGCUGGAGUUUAUAGGCAGCUGAAGUGAAUGCUGGGAGCAACUCCAAUCGUUUGGAAGAGAUGUAGUCUUUCCAAGCCCUUGGCAUGAAAUAAUUUUAAUAUAUGAUGUAGGGGGUAUCAUAGUUUAGCUGUAGGAAGGAAUUCCACAAGUGCUAUUGAGAUAACUGAUUAGCACGUUGAAGAAAAAGCAGCUUAGUUUUUUCAUACUUUCAUAUAUGUUAGGGCCACAGUGGAUUAAAGAGGUAAGGAAAAAACAGAGUAAGGACCUGGGAGAUGGCUCCACAGGCAAACUCACUUGCCCUUUAAGCCUGAAAAACUGAAUUCAAUGCCCAGAACCCAAGAGAGGAGAGAGCUGGCUUCCAAAAUUUGUCUCUCAUUGCUGUGGCACGUGUGCACUCAUGUUCACACACAACAUUAAUAGCAAUAAACGUGUAUGAUAAUGAUACAGCUCGAGAUGUAGCACAGGUGGCAGAGCACUUACACAAAACCCUGGAUUCUGUCUCCAGCACUAUAGCUUGUAUGCCAGCACAUACCUUCGAUACUCAGGAGACAGAGGCAGGAGAAAGGCAAAAGCUAGAAGUCAUCCUUCAAUGGGAGUAACAAAAGAAAAAGACGCAGGGGCCAGUGAGCUGUCUCAGCAGGUGAAGAUGCUUGCUGCCAAUCCUGAUGACCUGAUCUGGAUUCCCAGAACCCACAUGAUCAGAGAGCAAACUUAAUUGUCCUCUGACCUCCAUACACACACACUAAUAAAUCU